CCUACGGGAGGCAGCAGUGGGGAAUUUUGGACAAUGGGCGAAAGCCUGAUCCAGCAAUGCCGCGUGCAGGAUGAAGGGCUUCGGGUUGUAAACUGCUUUUGUACGGAACGAAAAAGCUUCUCCUAAUACGAGAGGNCCAUGACGGUACCGUAAGAAUAAGCACCGGCUAACUACGUGCCAGCAGCCGCGGUAAU
rnacentral:rRNA from 1 species